rnacentral:lncRNA from 1 species
UUAUUUUCUUCCUUAUUUAUGCAAAGCUUUGAGGCAAUGCCCAUGAAAAGAAAAGAGAAAGCUUUUGAGGCAAUGCCCAUCAAAAGUUAGGAUUGACACUUUUAAGGAUUUGAGAAGGACGAUGCUUACUCUGUCGACCUUAUAUGUGCAUCUUUACUUGAGGUAUAGAAUAGAAUAUUGACUGACCAAUUAUAGAUACUCUUCUUUAGUGAAACAGUGGAUGAACAAGCUAAUCAAGUUAUUGAAUAACUUUCUUACUGCAAUG